AGAGUUUGAUCCUGGCUCAGGAUGAACGCUGGCGGCGUGCUUAACACAUGCAAGUCGAACGAACCUUCGGGUUAGUGGCGGACGGGUGAGUAACGCGUGAGAAUCUGCCCUCAGGAGGGGGACAACAGCUGGAAACGGCUGCUAAUACCCCAUAUGCCGAGAGGUGAAAUGAAUUUCGCCUGAGGAUGAGCUCGCGUCUGAUUAGCUAGUUGGUGAGGUAAGAGCUCACCAAGGCAUCGAUCAGUAGCUGGUCUGAGAGGAUGAUCAGCCACACUGGGACUGAGACACGGCCCAGACUCCUACGGGAGGCAGCAGUGGGGAAUUUUCCGCAAUGGGCGAAAGCCUGACGGAGCAACGCAGCGUGAGGGAUGAAGGCCUCUGGGCUGUAAACCUCUUUUCUCAAGGAAGAAGAUCUGACGGUACUUGAGGAAUAAGCCACGGCUAAUUCCGUGCCAGCAGCCGCGGUAAUACGGGAGUGGCAAGCGUUAUCCGGAAUUAUUGGGCGUAAAGCGUCCGCAGGCGGCCCAUCAAGUCUGCUGUUAAAAAGUGGAGCUUAACUCCAUCAUGGCAGUGGAAACUGUUGGGCUAGAGUGUGGUAGGGGCAGAGGGAAUUCCCGGUGUAGCGGUGAAAUGCGUAGAUAUCGGGAAGAACACCAGUGGCGAAGGCGCUCUGCUGGGCCAUAACUGACGCUCAUGGACGAAAGCCAGGGGAGCGAAAGGGAUUAGAUACCCCUGUAGUCCUGGCCGUAAACGAUGAACACUAGGUGUCGGGGGAAUCGACCCCUCCGGUGUCGUAGCCAACGCGUUAAGUGUUCCGCCUGGGGAGUACGCACGCAAGUGUGAAACUCAAAGGAAUUGACGGGGGCCCGCACAAGCGGUGGAGUAUGUGGUUUAAUUCGAUGCAACGCGAAGAACCUUACCAGGGUUUGACAUCCUGCGAAUUUCUGGGAAACCGGAAAGUGCCUUCGGGAACGCAGUGACAGGUGGUGCAUGGCUGUCGUCAGCUCGUGUCGUGAGAUGUUGGGUUAAGUCCCGCAACGAGCGCAACCCACGUCUUUAGUUGCCAGCAUUUAGUUGGGCACUCUAGAGAGACCGCCGGUGAUAAACCGGAGGAAGGUGUGGAUGACGUCAAGUCAUCAUGCCCCUUACAUCCUGGGCUACACACGUACUACAAUGCUACGGACAAAGGGCAGCAAACUCGCGAGAGCUAGCAAAUCCCAUAAACCGUGGCUCAGUUCAGAUCGUAGGCUGCAACUCGCCUACGUGAAGGAGGAAUCGCUAGUAAUCGCAGGUCAGCAUACUGCGGUGAAUACGUUCCCGGGCCUUGUACACACCGCCCGUCACACCAUGGAAGUUGGCCACGCCCGAAGCCGUUACUCCAACCCUUGUGGAGGAGGACGUCGAAGGUGGGGCUGAUGACUGGGGUGAAGUCGUAACAAGGUAACC
rnacentral:rRNA from 1 species